rnacentral:tRNA from 1 species
CGCCUUAAAAGCUAAAAGACAAGCAUUAA